ensembl:snRNA U2 U2 spliceosomal RNA
AUUGCUUUUUGGUCUUUCGGCUAAAAUCAAGUAUAGUAUCUUUUCUUAUCAGUUUAACAAAAGGGGUAUUAUGCUGCAUAAACCCUCAAAAUAUUUUUAUGUAGUAGUGCCAUGGUCUAUUAUGUAGAAGAGCUCAU